rnacentral:rRNA from 1 species
UACGUAGGUGGCAAGCGUUGUCCGGAAUUACUGGGCGUAAAGGGCUCGUAGGCGGUCUGUCGCGUCGGUAGUGAAAACUCAGGGCUUAACCCUGAGCCUGCUUCCGAUACGGGCAGACUAGAGGUAUGCAGGGGAGAAUGGAAUUCCUGGUGUAGCGGUGAAAUGCGCAGAUAUCAGGAGGAACACCGGUGGCGAAGGCGGUUCUCUGGGCAUUACCUGACGCUGAGGAGCGAAAGUGUGGGGAGCGAACAGG